AUGAACGCUGGCGGCGUGCCUAACACAUGCAAGUCGAGCGAUUUACUUCGGUAAAGAGCGGCGGACGGGUGAGUAACGCGUGGGUAACCUGCCCUGUACACACGGAUAACAUACCGAAAGGUAUGCUAAUACGAGAUAAUAUGCUUUUAUCGCAUGGUAGAAGUAUCAAAGCUUUUGCGGUACAGGAUGGACCCGCGUCUGAUUAGCUAGUUGGUGAGGUAACGGCUCACCAAGGCGACGAUCAGUAGCCGACCUGAGAGGGUGAUCGGCCACAUUGGAACUGAGACACGGUCCAAACUCCUACGGGAGGCAGCAGUGGGGAAUAUUGCACAAUGGGCGAAAGCCUGAUGCAGCAACGCCGCGUGAGCGAUGAAGGCCUUCGGGUCGUAAAGCUCUGUCCUCAAGGAAGAUAAUGACGGUACUUGAGGAGGAAGCCCCGGCUAACUACGUG
rnacentral:rRNA from 1 species